rnacentral:rRNA from 1 species
AGUGAACGCUGGCGGUAGGCCUAACACAUGCAAGUCGAACGGCAGCACAGUAAGAGCUUGCUCUUACGGGUGGCGAGUGGCGGACGGGUGAGGAAUACAUCGGAAUCUACUUUUUCGUGGGGGAUAACGUAGGGAAACUUACGCUAAUACCGCAUACGACCUACGGGUGAAAGCAGGGGAUCUUCGGACCUUGCGCGAUUGAAUGAGCCGAUGUCGGAUUAGCUAGUUGGCGGGGUAAAGGCCCACCAAGGCGACGAUCCGUAGCUGGUCUGAGAGGAUGAUCAGCCACACUGGAACUGAGACACGGUCCAGACUCCUGCGGGAGGCAGCAGUGGGGAAUAUUGGACAAUGGGCGCAAGCCUGAUCCAGCCAUACCGCGUGGGUGAAGAAGGCCUUCGGGUUGUAAAGCCCUUUUGUUGGGAAAGAAAAGCAGCAGGUUAAUACCCCGCUGUUCUGACGGUACCCAAAGAAUAAGCACCGGCUAACUUCGUGC